rnacentral:rRNA from 1 species
UCGGGAAUUUUGGGCAAUGGGGGAAACCCUGACGCAGCGACGCCGCGUGUGGGAUGAAGGUCUUCGGAUUGUAAACCACUGUCGCGAGGGACGAAGCUCUGACGGUACCUCGAAAGGAAGCACCGGCCAACUCUGUGCCAGCAGCCGCGGUAAUACAGAGGGUGCAAGCGUUGCUCGGAUUUACUGGGCGUAAAGCGUACGCAGACGGUGAGGAAGGUCGGAUGUGAAAGCCCUGGGCUCAACCCAGGAACUGCAUCCGAAACCGCCUCGCUAGAGUAUGAGAGAGGAAAGCGGAAUUCCUGGUGUAGAGGUGAAAUUCGUAGAUAUCAGGAGGAACACCUGCGGCGAAGGCGGCUUUCUGGCUCAUUACUGACGUUCAGGUACGAAAGCGUGGGUAGCAAACAGGAUUAGAUACCCCUGUAGUCCCUGAGCGGGC